UAUCCAGUUACUAGCCGCAUAGAUUUUGUGU
rnacentral:piRNA from 1 species